rnacentral:lncRNA from 1 species
UUUAAGAUUGAGGAUAAAUUAAACCGUGUGCACUACGUCAAAAUUCAUAUAAAUACUUCCAUAGGCAUUGCUCGAAAUUCAACUCCUAAAACAUUUUCAAAAUUGUUGGUACUUUCGUAUAGUAUAGGUUUAAGCAAUGGCAUCACUUUCAACCUCCGUAAGGUCCGUAGUGAUAACACUUAUGAUCUAUGCUAUUCUCCUCUCUUCUUUGCUACUAUCGUCAUGUGACGCAGCCAGAGCCCCUCGAGGUAUAUUUUACGUUCAUUUAUAAACAUAUAUAUAGUACUACUAGACACUUAUAAAUUCAAUUUUUUUUGUGACAUUAAUAUUAUGAAUUUAGACAGAGGCGGAUCUCGCAUAUAAGUACUAGGUAUACGUACAUAAUUGCCAUAAUUAAUACAUGUAUUUUUCUGUUCGCGUGUAUGCAGUACUCUUGGGGAGAAGCAGUUUUCCCGUUGCAUGUCUUCACUGUGUGGGAUGUUGCGAACCAACGCCCCUAGGUACCUGUUGUACCCGCUGUGGUUGUUGAAGAUGAUCACCAAUGAAGUCACCAUAUAUGGCUGUGAAGCUCUGAAAUUUAUCUUUUGUACGAAUCACAGAAAAAGUCUGAUCAGCGAAUUGGUGCAUCUUGGAGUAAUAUGUGCAUGUUAUUCAAUAAAGAAACAACUUGGUUUCUUUAGGUUAUUAGGCCUGUUUUCUGUACACUUGUUGGAGAUGUCGCGUUUGUAACGUUUUGUGUUUCAAUUGAAUAAAUUACGAAAGAGAGGGAUUGAAGAGGAAAGCCUUAUGCGUUAUCUUUUUUUGUUGGUUUGCUUAUAUCUAUUUAACUAAAAUAUGGAAAGAGGGGGAAAAAAGAAAAAACACCGC